rnacentral:rRNA from 1 species
UACGAAGGGGGGCUAGCGUUGCUCGGAAUCACUGGGCGUAAAGGGUGCGUAGGCGGGUCUUUUAAGUCAGGGGUGAAAUCCCGAGGCUCAACCUCGGAACUGCCUUUGAUACUGGCGAUCUUCGAGUCCGGGAGAGGUGAGUGGAACUCCGAGUGUAGAGGUGAAAUUCGUAGAUAUUCGGAAGAACACCAGUGGCGAAGGCGGCUCACUGGCCCGGUACUGACGCUUAAGAGCGAAAGCGUGGGGAGCAAACAGG